CAAAAUUGUAAGAAUGCUUGAGAAACUGGUGAUUUUUUGAUUUUUAUUUUUCUGUUACCUAUUUUCAUACAUGAAAAAAUAGUUGUGACUUUGAAGUAUAUCAGGUUAAACAUUCCAGUAUUUGUGGAUUUUUAGGGAACAAAGCAUAAUCACUAAUUUCUAUAUAAUGAACAAAUCUGUGUAGGAUUAGCGAGGAAAGUUUUCAGUACUAAAAAAAAAAAAAAAAAAACCAAAAAAAAAAACCAGAAAACCUUUUCAUUGAAAAAAGUAGAAAAAAAGAAAAGAAAAACAGAUAUAUCAGUAUAUUGGGCUACCAGAAUUAUACUUUAUGGAUAUUUUAAAAUCUAAUUAUGUUAUUAAAUUGCUAUUCGAAUCAUUGUUUACCUCUGAAUGUCAGCCAACAGAAGCCAACUUACACUUUGGAAACGGUGUGGUUCUAAAUAUUUCUUAGACAAGAAUACAAGAUCUGCAUGAGUAAGCAACUGCUAGCUAUAGGGAAUCAACAUCAGUUGAUUGGGGCACGCCCCAAGACCAGCAGAUAAGUCAGAUCCCCUCAUCUUCAUGGCUUGUGGGUGCAGUGCUAGAGCAGCCCAGGCUCAGCCUGAUGCGUGCCUGACUAGAUGCAGCAGAGCAAAGCUGGGCACAGAGCACUGUGCUCUUAGUUGCAGUGGUAAGUUUAAUUGUCCGGUGACAUGUCUCUGUUGUGUCAUUGAAUGCAGAAAGAUCAAAGAUUCUGGAAUCAUUAUAUAAAAGCGGCACCUCAAGAAUCUUUUCUUCCUUGCUCUGCCAGUUAUGCUGUAAGAGAAGAAGCUGUCAUAUCAGGAAGGAUGCACUGCAGUAGUCCCAGCUCCCUCCACAGACCAAGUAUGAUAUUGCAGCCUGGCGAGAGAUUAAAUGAUUUAUGAGAAGAAAAUGCUUCAGUGAAAGCAGAUCUAUAAACGCAACCCCACUGCUGAAAACGCUGGUGAUACUGAUCAGUGAAUUGCAGCAGAAAUUACCAGCAGUGUGGAGAGGAAGCAGCAGCUCUGGGGACAGGCAUCAGGCAGAGGGGAGCAGGGUGGAACUCCCCUGUGAGCAAGAGCCUGAGCAGGCCAAGGACGUGCAACAGGAGGCAGAAGAAUAG
rnacentral:lncRNA from 1 species